rnacentral:rRNA from 1 species
GCGGAAGGCCCUUUCGGGGGUACUCGAGCGGCGAACGGGUGAGUAACACGUGAGUAAUCUGCCCUUCACUUCGGGAUAGCUUCGGGAAACCGAAAUUAAUACCGGAUACGACCAGCCUACGCAUGUGGUGUUGGUGGAAAGUUUUGUCGGUGGAGGAUGUGCUCGCGGCCUAUCAGCUUGUUGGUGGGGUAAUGGCCUACCAAGGCUUCGACGGGUAGCCGGCCUGAGAGGGUGACCGGCCACACUGGGACUGAGACACGGCCCAGACUCCUACGGGAGGCAGCAGUGGGGAAUAUUGGACAAUGGGCGGAAGCCUGAUCCAGCAACGCCGCGUGAGGGAUGACGGCCUUCGGGUUGUAAACCUCUUUCAGUACCGACGAAGCGCCCUGUCGGGUGGUGACGGUAGGUACAGAAGAAGCACCGGCCAACUACGUGCCAGCAGCCGCGGUAAUACGUAGGGUGCGAGCGUUGUCCGGAAUUAUUGGGCGUAAAGGGCUCGUAGGCGGUUUGUCGCGUCGGGAGUGAAAACCAGGUGCUUAACACCUGGCUUGCUUUCGAUACGGGCAGACUAGAGGUAUGCAGGGGAGAACGGAAUUCCUGGUGUAGCGGUGAAAUGCGCAGAUAUCAGGAGGAACACCGGUGGCGAAGGCGGUUCUCUGGGCAUGACCUGACGCUGAGGAGCGAAAGUGUGGGGAGCGAACAGGAUUAGAUACCCUGGUAGUCCACACCGUAAACGUUGGGCGCUAGGUGUGGGAUCCAUUCCACGGGUUCCGUGCCGCAGCUAACGCAUUAAGCGCCCCGCCU